rnacentral:misc_RNA from 1 species
CUAGUCGCUUCAUGUUUCACAAACCGGGAUAAGUUCCGGCCUUUUGAUCAAUACCAUAUAGUUAGCUGGCUUUAGUAAGAGAAUCUUGAGGUCGAUGAUGUCGAAACCUGUUUUAAAUCUGUUGUCCAGAUCCAGAAGGACAGUACGAACUCGUUUUUGUCUGGAUUUCAAGGUACAGUGGUAGAUAUUGGAGGUACACCAAAAUUUAGGCAUUAAUUUUCAUUAGAAGUUGCUUGUAAGAAACUGAGAUGCUUAUUGUUGAUUGAUGAAAAGUAGAAAACAAAGAAUUUUAAGGAAAUAAGGGUUUUGUAUUCUACUACACGCAUGCUCUCUAUAAAAGGGGUCAACUAGGGGAGGUUCAAGCCAUUUAAGGUCUUCAGUUUAUUAACAGCCGCUUAACUGACAACUGACAAAUAGACAAAAUAGACCCUCGUUUCCGCUUUUUGAUUUCGACUUGCAAAAAGGUAAAGAGUUAACUUAUUUUUCAUACCAAGCAAUAUCACUUGUUCAAGUCGCUGUUGGCAGAAACAAAUGUGGUGAGAGGGGAGGGGAGGGAAGGAACGGCCGUCUACAUCUAAGCAUAAUUACUAGAGGGUAGCAAAAAAUUACAUGUUUAUAGUGGGGCUGUGAUAAGCCGUCCAGAGGAUUUUUCUCGCCAUUGCGUGAACAUGCAAUUAUGUAUAAGAUACCGCGCAACUUAUUUGAUUUGUUUGAGGGGGUAACCGAGGCCUACGAACAGUCUUCCGGUGAGGACGAAAGAAAAAAUGAAAAAAAAAAAAAGGAAAACGAGAGCGAAACUGAAGAAUUCGGAGAGCGAAGCGAUCGGGGGCUGGGCUUCGUUCGCGCUCGCCGGGAGGCAGUGGGUUACCCGGUGGGGUGAUGUUGUUCGAGUCCCAGUCCCUUCGCACGUCGAGACUGUUGAUGGAGAACUUUGAUGAGCGGUUGUUGUCCUUGCAAGAAGUUCAAAGACACAACAAAGUUGAUGAUGCUUGGAUAGUAAUUGAUGGAAAGGUUUAUGAUGUCUCAAGCUAUGUAUCAAUUCAUCCCGGGGGGAAAGCGAUUCUAAGAAAUGUGGGAGGAGACGCCACACAGGGAUUUCAACAACAGGCUGCCCACAGAGUCGUAAAGAACCACAUUGCAUCUUUGCUGGAGAAGUUCUACAUUGGUCGCAUAUCACCAGGACAGGAAUGUUCGAAAACUGGUUAAUGCUAAUCCAGGAUUAAAAGCGGAUUGUGCUCUUAAUUUAAUCUGUCAGUUGAUAAUGUUUUCUAUGGUUUUCUAAACUUUGAAUUCAUAGAUUAUAGUCAUCAGUUAGGUGUCCACUGAGGGGAACAUCCCUCUGUUAGGAAAUUUUGACACAAUAAUAAAGCUUAUAAUAUUUUUUUAUUAUCAUAUUGAUGUUGCACAAAGUCAACAUUAAGGACAAAAGAAAAUAGACAAAAAGUCGCUGAAAAGAUACAGAAAAAUUAAAAUCCAAAUUCAGUGUAAUCCUGGAUUAGCUUUAUAGUAUUUUGAACAGUCAAUCCCGGCAGAAGAGGAAUAUUGUGAAACAAAGUUAUCAGGAACAGUGACUCUUGUUUAUUUUGCUUCAUCUAAAAUGGCGAUGCUACAAUGAGACUGGAGGUUUUUACACUGCUACUCUGGCUUGAGCUUCUUCUGGUGUCGUAAAACUAGCAAAUAAGGAUGUAAAGCCUGAAAUGUUUCUUUUAGUUUGUUUCUGUUCUUGUUAUUUUGUUGAUGAUUGUAAAAGAUAUGCAGGCUAUGAUAAAAUGACUCUUUAAACCACUGCAGAAAAA